CACGGGGAGGGGUUCGCGGCCUAUCAGCUAGUNGGGGGGGUNACGGCCCACCAAGGCGACGACGGGUAGCUGGUCUGAGAGGAUGGCCAGCCNCAUUGGGACUGAGAGACGGCCCAGANUCCUACGGGAGGCAGCAGUGGGGAAUCUUGCGCAAUGGCCGAAAGGCUGACGCAGCGACGCCGCGUGUGGGAGGACGCCUUUCGGGGUGUAAACCACUGUUGCCCGGGACGAACAGCCCUUUUCGAGGGGUCUGACGGUACCGGGUGAGGAAGCACCGGCUAACUCCGUGCCAGCAGCCGCGGUAAUACGGAGGGUGCGAGCGUUGUCCGGAAUCAUUGGGCGUAAAGGGCGCGUAGGUGGCCCGGUCAGCGUGCGGUGAAAGCUCGGGGCUCAACCCCGAGUCGGCCGUGCGAACUGCUGGGCUGGAGCACUGUAGAGGCAGGCGGAAUUCCGGGUGUAGCGGUGGAAUGCGUAGAGAUCCGGAAGAACACCGGUGGCGAAGGCGGCCUGCUGGGCAGUUGCUGACACUGAGGCGCGACAGCGUGGGGAGCAAACAGGAUUAGAUACCCUGGUAGUCCACGCCGUAAACGAUGGGCACUAGGCGCUUGGGGGAGCGACCCUCCGAGGGCCGGCGCUAACGCAUUAAGUGCCCCGCCUGGGGAGUACGGCCGCAAGGCUGAAACUCAAAGGAAUUGACGGAAUCGA
rnacentral:rRNA from 1 species